AACUGCGAAGAUUACGUCUUGCGAAUA
rnacentral:sRNA from 1 species